rnacentral:tRNA from 1 species
GACAUGGCUCAGUGGAAGAUCGUCUACUUGGCAUGCAAAGGGUCCCAGAUUCAAUCCCUGGCAUCUCCA